UUUUAAUCAAUUCGAAACCUACAUUUCAGCGGUGUUGUAAUUCAUGCAGCCUUCUAUGUGGAGAUAAAUUGUGUUUGUUUUAUGUCAUUGUCACAUCAAAAGGUCUGAAAGUCAUUUUCUCCCGGCAACUCUAUUUUCUGAAGUCGGAUGUCAUCACUGAGCAGUCAGUUGGUCAAGCAUUGGAUCCAUGACAAGGGGUCAAACUUGAUACGAAUAAACAGGAAUACAUUUAGACCCUGCAGAAUAAUAAUGGAAAGUAACUACAAGCUACACGGCAAUUAAACUUAGAAUCUACGGACUUUCAUUGGGAGAAGACCAUCCUUAAAGACAUAUAUAUAGGCAUGCAUGCACAUAUCCAAAGUUGUCAUGUCCUUUGUGGUAUGAUGCAAUGGAAGGUCGUUUGUCCCACCCAAGGACUGCAGCAGAACUCUGUCAACGGUGACCUCAUCUAGUAUAUGUACAAAUUGCUGUGAAGAUUCCCAAAUCAUCACGCAGAUCUUGUGGAGAACCCCUAACCACCCUGCAGAUCCUGUGGGGAAUCCCAAACCACCAUACUGCAUGAUCCUGUGAAGAUUAAUCCUUAACCACCAUACAGAUCCUGUGGAGAAUCCUUAACCACCAUGCAGAUCUUGUGGAGAUUUAGUCCCAAACCAUCUUAAAGAUCAUUGGGAGAGUUGAUUCCUAACCACCAUUAAGAUCUAAUGAAUAUUUAUUUUCUUUACUAAAAGUCUGAAAGGCAUUUUCUCCUGGCAACUCGAUUUUCUGUAGUAGGAUGCCAUCACUGAGCAGUCAGCUGGUCAAGCAUCGGAUCCAUGACAACGGGUCACACUUUACAUGUAUAAACAGGUACCAAUGACCACACUGGGAGUCCACUGUUGCUGCACUAGAAUCCCUGCUUUUAUAUACAUGUAUGUUAAGAAUAAAUCAUACAUUGUGUUCUU
rnacentral:sRNA from 1 species